rnacentral:rRNA from 1 species
UACAGAGGGGGCAAGCGUUAUUCGGAAUUAUUGGGCGUAAAGGGCGCGUAGGCGGCUUGGCAAGUGGAAGGUGAAAUCCCUCGGCUUAACCGAGGAACUGCCCUCCAAACUGCUUCGCUUGAGACCGGGAGAGGUGAGUGGAAUUCCCAGUGUAGCGGUGAAAUGCGUAGAUAUUGGGAGGAACACCAGUGGCGAAGGCGGCUACCUGGACCGGUUCUGACGCUGAUGCGCGAAAGCGUGGGUAGCAAACAGG